UACGUAGGGUGCGAGCGUUUAAUCGGAAUUACUGGGCGUAAAGGGCGCGUAGGUGGCUCACGAAAGCGUGCGGUGAAAGCCCGGGGCUCAACCCCGGGUCGGCCGUGCGGACUGCGGGGCUCGAGCACUGUAGGGGCAGAUGGAAUUCCGGGUGUAGCGGUGAAAUGCGCAGAUAUCAGGAGGAACACCGGUGGCGAAGGCGGCUUGCUGGGCCAGUUCUGACGCUGAGGAGCGAAAGCGUGGGGAGCGAACAGG
rnacentral:rRNA from 1 species